CCCCGAGGGUAUUAAGGGUUAUAGGUUAUGGGAUAGAAGCCAAAAAGGGGUUAGGAUUAUCAUAAGUAGAGAUGUCACGUUUAACGAGAAUGAGAUGCCGUGUAUUAAAGGGGAAACCGAAUCUGAGAGUGAAACUGAACUAGGUGAAGAGAGAGACUAAUUUAAGGUGGAGUUAGGAAAACUUAGUACAUCUACCCCUACUGCUUCUAAUGGGGUGGAGAUUCAAGUUCAGGAACCUGAAGUGGAAAAUAGUAACGAAGUAGUGAUAGAAGAACACCCUAAGGAAGAAAAUUCAUUAGCUAAUUAUAAUCUAGCUAGAGAUAGAGAGAGGAGACAGACGAGAGAACCUAGAAGGUUCGGUUUUGAAUCUGAAAUAACUUUUGUCCAUGCUAGUUAUGAAAAACUAGCUGAUAAAGAGCCAAAAACCUUUGAAGAAAUGAUAGGUAGUGAUCAAUCUAAGGAGUGGUUUAAGGCGAUGAAAGAAGAGAUGAGUUCUCUAGAAAAGAAUCAGACUUGGGAACUGGUACCUAGACCUAAAAACAAAUCGAUCGUCGAUUGCAAAUGAGUUUUUAAGAUUAAGGAAGGUACUAGUAGUUCGGAACCCUUAAAGUUUAAAGUUAGGUUAGUAGCUAAGGGUUACACAUAAAAGGAUGGCGUUGAUUAUAAUGAGAUUUUUUCACGAGUUAUUAAGUAUACCACUAUUAGGGCCAUGUUUGCUUUGGUUGCGCAUUUUAACUAGGAACUUGAACAACUUGAUGUAAAAAUUGCUUUUUUACAGGUGAGUUUGAUGAACAAAUAUUCAUGAAUCAACCAAAAGGUUUUAAGGAUAAAUCAAAACUUGAUUACGCGUGUUUUCUGAAAAGGUCCCCAUAUGGCUUAAAACAAUUACCUAGAUAGUAGUACAAGAUGUUUGAUUCCUUUGUACUCACCAUAGGGUUCUAAAGAAAUAAAUUUGAUCAUUGCCUAUAUUUUCAACAUAACGAGACUGAUAAUAAUUAUCUAUUUUUGUUGCUCUAUGUGGACGACAUGUUUUUGAUUGGUUAUUCUUCUAAGUGGAUAAACAGCAUAAAAGCAAAACUAAGUGGUGAAUUUGACAUGAAAGACCUAGGUAAGGCUAAGAGAAUUCUAGGUAUGGAAAUAAAAAGAGAUAGGUCAAUACUAAGGUACUUGAAAGGUACGGGUGACGUAGGUUUAAAGUUCAGUGUUAAUAAGAAAGGUGUGAAAUUGAAGGAUUUUGUAGAUGCUGAUUAUGCGGGAGAUAGGGAUGGUAGGAAAUCGACUUCCUCUUACAUGUUUACCUUAUCAAAUUCAUGUGUUAGUUGAAAAUCACAGUUACUACACAUUGUUGCACUAUCUACCACUGAAUCUGAGUAUAUUGCUACUAGUGAAGCAAUUAAAGAGGCCUUAUGGUUUAGAGGUUUACUUCAUGAACUAUGUGUCUUGAAUGAGUGUGGUUGUGUAUUUUGAUAGUCAGUCAUCCAUACAUUUAUGUAAGAACCCUGUUUUUCACGAACGCACUAAACACAUUGAUGUUAGACUACACUUUAUUAGAGAUAUAGUAUCUCAAGAGGUGGUGAAACUUGAAAAAGUUCACACACAAUACAAUCCUUUAGAUAUGAGCACGAAGGUGCUGCCACUGGUAAAAUUUAGAAGUUGCAAGGAUCUUCUAAACAUUGGUACAUGUAAAUGAUUUCCAAUUUUAUCGAUUUUCUAUUAGAGGUGUUACUAAUGGAAGGCGUUUUCUUUUUGCAGGUCCUUUGACACCAAGGUGGAGGUUGUUAGACAAAUUUGUUGUCAAACGACCUCCCUCGGGCUAUGAUGUUACUCGGUUUAAUUUUUCAGUCGGUUUAGCCAAAUGACUGAACGGGAAUCCAAUACCACAUUCAAGACGAUACAACCCAAAGGUUAAUUGGGCCACUCGAAGCAACCUAAAUACUUUAGUGUUGCUCGUGGCUCAAUCCACUCCCUUGGAUGGCAUUUAAUUGAGAGAAAAGCUUGUGAGCCCACUUAACUAUCUUUUGGGCCUUUGGCCUAACCCAUUAGUUAACCUACUUAAACUUACCUUAUUUGGGCUAUUGGUAAAACGGUUAAAUUGGCUUCUUUUCUCACUAAGUGAGAGAUGUCUCACCCCUCGCUCUCUCUUGGCUGGUUUUCUAUGAUUUCUCUUCUACUCUUCUGCCUCUUUGUGGAUACCAUCUAAGUGGUGAUAUUAAAUGAGAUUUCUUCUACCUUUGUGGUCUCAAUAGUGGAAUAUCUCAUUGGCAAUCGGAAGUGGAGCUUGGUAUUGUCUUGGUUCGUAGUUGUCGGCUUUGUGGUGUUGGAAGUGGGUAUAAACUGAGCCUGGGUUAUCUUUGGUGAUCAAUACCAUCACCUUACAGUAGGUUAUUCCAUUGCCACCAGAAAAGAAGCUACCAUCCCAAGACCUAUGAAUGGGCCAGCCUGCACCAGUCAAUGUGCCAACAAAGAUAGGUAUUUCUAUGAUUAUUGGCUAGUUCUUAAUUCUGUUUUUUUAUUAACGUCAUAUUUUUGUAACAUUGCUGAAGGAAGAAGCAAAGGUUUGAAGCAUGUCAAUGCUAAAGAUUAAAAUAUAACAAACAUUAAUAGGUUAUAUUCUCUCUACAUGUUAGGAAUUAAGAAAUUUUCAGAGGCCAGUCUAUAUCAAAGUUGGUAUAUAUAUAUAUAACGGACCCUCUUGCUUUCUUUCAUCCAUAUUAGUUAAGUAGCAGUAUACCAAGUAUCAAAAAGGAAUCUCUAAAUCAUUAGAAGUUAGUAUUUUAAUAUAAAUUAUUGAAUUAAACAUAAUGUUAUUGCCUCAGCCAUGACCUCGAACUUCCAAGACCAGAGGGAAUUGUAUUAAGUCCAGGAAUACCAAAAAGGUACUCGGAGGCCUCCUGAGUUUGUUUAGAACUUUCUUAUCUGCCUUCCACUUCUGGGUCUACCUUGUAUCUACUUUGGUGAAUGUCUUUCUCUUCCCAGCUUCCAUGAAAUUGAAAAGAUAAUCACAAUACAUUACUUUGACAUCUCAAAGGAAGUGAAGCAAAGAGUGAGAAAGUUGAGUUUGUACAGCUAUUUUCUUCUUCUUAGUUAUUAGAAAGAAAAAUACAGAUGUUGUCAAUGUUCGUUAGAGGUCAUCUAACUACUAAUUUCUCAGUGUAUAAUUUUUUGAAACAUGACUACAUUACAUGGUUCUUAUGAAAAAUCAAAAUGAAAUGUCACUCACUUCAUUUUCUAUCGACUACAGAUUGGAAAGUCACUCUUCCAUAUAUUGAAUGUUUCAUUGACAUGUACGCGUAUCCUUAAUGAUCUAAGUUGCCAGUAUUCUGAUCUUGGUUGCUUACAAUAGGAGCUUCAUAUUCCAAUACAUUUUUGUGAAUUAAGCUAUGGAAGCACAUACAUUACAGGGAUACAAAAGGCUGGAUCCAUCCUGUGACUAAGGAGAAAUAUGUAAUGAAACUAGUCUUAUCAAAAUUUUGGAACUUGGCUGGGCUUUUUAUUUUGGAUUCCAUUAUAGUUUAGACUGUGUUUUUAUAGUUGGAAUUGGAAUUGACUUGUAAAGAUGCUAUAUAUUAUUUUGCCUCGUAAAUAUUUUGCUAGAAGCUUUUGGUUGUGACUAUUGUUUUUUGAUUUCGGAUAUUUUUAAUUUUGAAAUUUUUAUUGGUAUA
rnacentral:lncRNA from 1 species